GACGAACGCUGGCGGCGUGCUUAACACAUGCAAGUCGAACGGAAAGGCCCUGCUUUUGUGGGGUGCUCGAGUGGCGAACGGGUGAGUAACACGUGAGUAACCUGCCCUUGACUUUGGGAUAACUUCAGGAAACUGGGGCUAAUACCGGAUAGGAGCUCCUGCUGCAUGGUGGGGGUUGGAAAGUUUCGGCGGUUGGGGAUGGACUCGCGGCUUAUCAGCUUGUUGGUGGGGUAGUGGCUUACCAAGGCUUUGACGGGUAGCCGGCCUGAGAGGGUGACCGGCCACAUUGGGACUGAGAUACGGCCCAGACUCCUACGGGAGGCAGCAGUGGGGAAUAUUGCACAAUGGGCGGAAGCCUGAUGCAGCAACGCCGCGUGCGGGAUGACGGCCUUCGGGUUGUAAACCGCUUUCGCCUGUGACGAAGCGUGAGUGACGGUAAUGGGUAAAGAAGCACCGGCUAACUACGUGCCAGCAGCCGCGGUGAUACGUAGGGUGCGAGCGUUGUCCGGAUUUAUUGGGCGUAAAGGGCUCGUAGGUGGUUGAUCGCGUCGGAAGUGUAAUCUUGGGGCUUAACCCUGAGCGUGCUUUCGAUACGGGUUGACUUGAGGAAGGUAGGGGAGAAUGGAAUUCCUGGUGGAGCGGUGGAAUGCGCAGAUAUCAGGAGGAACACCAGUGGCGAAGGCGGUUCUCUGGGCCUUUCCUGACGCUGAGGAGCGAAAGCGUGGGGAGCGAACAGGCUUAGAUACCCUGGUAGUCCACGCUGUAAACGGUGGGUACUAGGUGUGGGGUCCAUUCCACGGGUUCCGUGCCGUAGCUAACGCUUUAAGUACCCCGCCUGGGGAGUACGGCCGCAAGGCUAAAACUCAAAGGAAUUGACGGGGCCCCGCACAAGCGGCGGAGCAUGCGGAUUAAUUCGAUGCAACGCGUAGAACCUUACCUGGGUUUGACAUGGAUCGGGAGCGCUCAGAGAUGGGUGUGCCUCUUUUGGGGUCGGUUCACAGGUGGUGCAUGGCUGUCGUCAGCUCGUGUCGUGAGAUGUUGGGUUAAGCCCCGCAACGAGCGCAACCCUUGUUCACUGUUGCCAGCACGUUAUGGUGGGGACUCAGUGGAGACCGCCGGGGUCAACUCGGAGGAAGGUGGGGAUGACGUCAAGUCAUCAUGCCCCUUAUGUCCAGGGCUUCACGCAUGCUACAAUGGCUGGUACAGAGAGUGGCGAGCCUGUGAGGGUGAGCGAAUCUCGGAAAGCCGGUCUCAGUUCGGAUUGGGGUCUGCAACUCGACCUCAUGAAGUCGGAGCCGCUAGUAAUCGCAGAUCAGCAACGCUGCGGUGAAUACGUUCCCGGG
rnacentral:rRNA from 1 species